AUCUACCACAGGAGUGGGCAGCCUUUUUCAGACUUAGGGCCACAUUCCCUUAUGGGUAGCCUUCUUGGAGCCACAACAGGCCAUUUUUGUCCGCUGCCUCACCACAGAGAGCAUUUCCUGUCAGAAGAAAGGGGGAGUACAUUUGUAGCCUGUUCUUUUGCUCAUCUUAUUAGUGGGAUGCAUUAAGAACACCGCUUCGGCAAAAGAACAGCUCCUGAUCCCUGCAGAAAACUGUAACUCAAUGAAGGUGGCAAGUGCAUCCCAACCACCACCACCACCAAAGCAGAAAAGAAGCUUCCGGCCACACACAUCUCAACAGGAACAGAUGGCCUUCUCAUCACUCCCACCCACAGCAAAGAAUUAAAUGCCUGCGCUCAACCAUCAGGUCUAAGCAGCUGCAUUUUACAGCUCGGCGAAAUCAAAGCAUCGCGGCUGGCUUUCAACAGUGGGACACCCAAGGAAGGCAACGACCCAUUAUCUGUAACACCCAGUACAAUUGGUUUAUUGAGGCCCGGAGACACCCACCCUACCCAUUCCCAAAGUUGGUUCCAUCAAAAGAACCAAGCUACAAAAAGAAACAGGGAUAUGCUUCAUUGGAAAGAGGUGGUGUCCUGCCUUAGUUAGCAUCGGAGCUCUAUGGCGUGAUAAGGAUAAUUCAUAUUAAUGUUACGGGGCCAGGGUGUGCGUUGUGUUAUAUUUUUGUUAUUAUAUAUGAAAAGUCCAUUCUAGUUAUGCCAUUUUAAAGCAGGAAGUGUGAGACAUGUGUUUCCUCAAAGGAGCUGUGUGGUGGCUGUAACCACAUAUGAGCAAUCUUCCUUUCUUUUGCUGUAGUUUCCUUUGCACAAGGGAUAAUAAGGUGCGGGGAGCCUCAUGUUGAGACCCCAAAGCUCUACAUUACAUUUGAAGUGAAGCAGAGAGAACCGUACAAAGUAGAGCUCAACCAAAGCAGAGCUCAA